rnacentral:rRNA from 1 species
GACGAACGCUGGCGGCGUGCCUAAUACAUGCGAGUUGAGCGAUGAAGAUUGGUGCUUGCACCAAUUUGAAGAGCAGCGAACGGGUGAGUAACGCGUGGGGAAUCUGCCUUUGAGCGGGGGACAACAUUUGGAAACGAAUGCUAAUACCGCAUAACAACUUUAAACAUAAGUUUUAAGUUUGAAAGAUGCAAUUGCAUCACUCAAAGAUGAUCCCGCGUUGUAUUAGCUAGUUGGUGAGGUAAAGGCUCACCAAGGCGAUGAUACAUAGCCGACCUGAGAGGGUGAUCGGCCACAUUGGGACUGAGACACGGCCCAAACUCCUACGGGAGGCAGCAGUAGGGAAUCUUCGGCAAUGGACGAAAGUCUGACCGAGCAACGCCGCGUGAGUGAAGAAGGUUUUCGGAUCGUAAAACUCGGUUGGUAGAGAAGAACGUUGGUGAGAGUGGAAAGCUCAUCAAGUGACGGUAACUACCCAGAAAGGGACGGCUAACUACGUG